AUGAACGCUGGCGGCGUGCCUAAUACAUGCAAGUCGAGCGAACGGACGAGAAGCUUGCUUCUCUGAUGUUAGCGGCGGACGGGUGAGUAACACGUGGAUAACCUACCUAUAAGACUGGGAUAACUUCGGGAAACCGUAGCUAAUACCGGAUAAUAUUUUGAACCGCAUGGUUCAAAAGUGAAAGACGGUCUUGCUGUCACUUAUAGAUGGAUCCGCGCUGCAUUAGCUAGUUGGUAAGGUAACGGCUUACCAAGGCAACGAUGCAUAGCCGACCUGAGAGGGUGAUCGGCCACACUGGAACUGAGACACGGUCCAGACUCCUACGGGAGGCAGCAGUAGGGAAUCUUCCGCAAAGGGCGAAAGCCUGACGGAGCAACUCCGCGUGAGUGAUGAAGGUCUUCGGAUCGUAAAACUCUGUUAUUAGGGAAGAACAUAUGUGUAAGUAACUGUGCACAUCUUGACGGUACCUAAUCAGAAAGCCACGGCUAACUACGUG
rnacentral:rRNA from 1 species